rnacentral:rRNA from 1 species
UACGUAGGUGGCAAGCGUUGUCCGGAUUUAUUGGGCGUAAAGCGAGCGCAGGCGGUUUCUUAAGUCUGAUGUGAAAGCCCUCGGCUCAACCGAGGAAGGUCAUUGGAAACUGGGGAACUUGAAUGCAGAAGAGGAGAGUGGAAUUCCAUGUGUAGCGGUGAAAUGCGUAGAUAUAUGGAGGAACACCAGUGGCGAAGGCGACUCUCUGGUCUGUAAUUGACGCUGAGGCUCGAAAGCGUGGGGAGCAAACAGG